UCUGCCGGAACCCGACUGCUAUCGGGGUGGCACUAAGCCAUGGGAGUCGCACGUCCCUCCGCCGAGGGGCGUGGCGCACGGCUGAGUAAUACGCGGCUAACCUGCCCUCGGGAGGGGGGUAACCCCGGGAAACUGGGACUAAUCCCCCCAUAGACGGGGAGGCCUGGAAGGGUUCCCCGUCGAAAAGGGCGCGUAGGGGUCAUCGCUACGCGCUCGCCCGAGGAUGGGGCCGCGUCCCAUCAGGUAGAUGGCGGGGUAAAGGCCCGCCAUGCCUAUAACGGGUAGGGGCCGUGAGAGCGGGAGCCCCCAGAUGGGCACUGAGACAAGGGCCCAGGCCCUACGGGGCGCACCAGGCGGGAAACCUCCGCAAUGCGGGAAACCGUGACGGGGUCACCCCGAGUGCCCUCCUUUGGGAGGGCUUUUCCCCGCUGUAAACAGGCGGGGGCAAUAAGCGGGGGGCAAGUCUGGUGUCAGCCGCCGCGGUAAUACCAGCCCCGCGAGUGGUCGGGACGGUUAUUGGGCCUAAAGCGCCCGUAGCCGGCCUAGCAAGUCUCCGCGGAAAUCCCCGGGCUCAACCCGGGGGCAAGCGGAGAUACUGCUAGGCUAGGGGGCGGGAGAGGCCGGGGGUACUCCCGGGGUAGGGGCGAAAUCCUAUAAUCCCGGGAGGACCACCAGUGGCGAAGGCGCCUGGCUGGAACGCGCCCGACGGUGAGGGGCGAAAGCCGGGGGAGCGAACCGGAUUAGAUACCCGGGUAGUCCCGGCUGUAAACGAUGCGGGCUAGGUGUCGGACGGGCUUAGAGCCCGUCCGGUGUCGCAGGGAAGCCGUUAAGCCCGCCGCCCGGGGAGUACUGCUGC
rnacentral:rRNA from 1 species